AUUUCGGGAAGCUGUUUCAGCAAU
rnacentral:siRNA from 1 species